UACAGAGACUGCAAGCGUUAUUCGGAAUCACUGGGCUUAAAGCGCGCGUAGGCGGAUGUUUAAGUGUCUUGUGAAAUCCCACGGCUCAACCGUGGAAACUGCUGGGCAUACUGGACAUCUCGAGGCACUCAGGGGCGAGCGGAACAAGUGGUGGAGCGGUGAAAUGCGUAGAUAUCACUUGGAACGCCAAUGGUGAAGACAGCUCCCUGGUCG
rnacentral:rRNA from 1 species